rnacentral:rRNA from 1 species
UUGAUUAUAAUUUAAGGUCUGACCUGCCCAAUGAGUUUUUAAAUGGCCGCGGUAUUUUGACCGUGCAAAGGUAGCAUAAUCAUUAGUUUUUUAAUUGAAAGCUGGAAUGAAAGGUCGAAUGAAAAAAUAGCUGUCUCUAUUUAAAUUUUUUAGAAAUUUAUUUUUAAGUUAAAAAGCUUAAAUAUAAUUAGAAGACGAGAAGACCCUAUAGAGUUUUAUUAAUUUCUAUUAUAGGCAUUUUAGUAUUAACUUUUUUAUAAUAAGGAUUAAUUUAAUUGGGGUGAUUGAAAAAUUUAAUAAACUUUUUUUAUAUCUUUACAUUUAUUUAUGAAUAUUUGAUCCUUUUAUGAAGAUUAUAAGAUAAAAUUACCUUAGGGAUAACAGCGUAAUUUUUUUAAAGAGUUCAAAUCGAAAAAAAAGAUUGCGACCUCGAUGUUGGAUUAAAAUAAAAUUUUGGUGUAGAAGCUAAAAUAUUUAGGUCUGUUCGACCUUUAAAAUUUUACAUGAUCUGAGUUUAAACCGGUGUGAGCCAGGUUGGUUUCUAUCUCUAUUAAAUUUUAAUAUCUUAGUACGAAAGGACCAGAUAUUUAAUUAAAAAUUUUAUUUAUAGAAUAAAAUU